GUAGUCUCGCACAGAUGCAUAUCAAUAAGCGGAGGAAAAGAAACUAACAAGGAUUCCCUUAGUAACGGCGAGUGAAGCGGGAAGAGCUCAAAUUUGAAAUCUUCAAGGUUUUACCUUGACGAAUUGUAGUUUAAAGAAGUGUUUUCUGUUGAAGUUUUGGUAAAAGUUCUUUGGAAUAGGACAUCAUAGAGGGUGAGAAUCCCGUAUUUGACCAUUAUUUUCAGCUGUGUGAUACACUUUCAAAGAGUCGGAUUGUUUGGGAAUGCAGUCCAAAAUGGGUGGUAAAUUUCAUCUAAAGCUAAAUAUUGGCGAGAGACCGAUAGCGAACAAGUACCGUGAGGGAAAGAUGAAAAGAACUUUGAAAAGAGAGUUAAACAGUACGUGAAAUUGUCAAAAGGGAAGCGUUUGACACCAGUGUUGUUUUCUCGAAAAUCAAUUAAAAAGAGUUAGAUUUUGUUGUGUAUUGACCUUAACAGCUUGCAUUUCAAUUUUCUUGCUUUUUUUAAUGCACUUUUCGUUUAACAAGUCAACAUCAGUUUCUUUUGUUGUAAAAAGGUCAUUGGAAGGUGGCUUUCUUUUCGGAGAAAGUGUUUAUAGCCUUUGACUCCUGCAAUCGGAGAGACUGAGGUCUGCAGCGUAGAUCCUUCGGGGUUAGAUACAUUUGUGCUAAGUUAUAGCUUUUUAUAGACAACUUGUUGACUAUGAUUAGUCUUGUAGCUUACUCGCUUAUGCUAUUUUACCUACGCUUAGGAUGUUGAAGAUGUAGCACAUCAU
rnacentral:rRNA from 1 species